UGAGACAGAGGCCGGUGACAGUGA
rnacentral:piRNA from 1 species